CAUGCACCAGUGGGGUUCCUUGGCCUGGCCUGCGGGAUCAGGCUGAAACUGGUUAUCCAAUAUCCCUCCAGGGGUCCCAGAUUGCGAGAGGGCGCAGGCCAGGCUGAGGGACCCCACUGGUGCACG
rnacentral:pre_miRNA from 1 species